rnacentral:rRNA from 1 species
GACGUAGGGCGCGAGCGUUGUCCGGAUUUAUUGGGCGUAAAGAGCUCGUAGGCGGCUUGUCGCGUCGACCGUGAAAACUUGGGGCUCAACCCCAAGCCUGCGGUCGAUACGGGCAGGCUCGAGUUCGGUAGGGGAGACUGGAAUUCCUGGUGUAGCGGUGAAAUGCGCAGAUAUCAGGAGGAACACCGGUGGCGAAGGCGGGUCUCUGGGCCGAUACUGACGCUGAGGCGCGAAAGCUAGGGGAGCAAACGGG